CACAGGAAGUUUUGGGAUGUUCUGUGCACGUUCUCGAGACCCUUCGACUUUCCAUCCCAGAAACGAUCAACGCGGUGAGCAGUGCAUCCACAGUAUUUAUGAUUACUUUCAUAAUCCAGUCUGGUAGUUUUAAGAAGCGAGUUCUUGCAUCCACCCGCCUCGACUCGGCGGGGCGGAGCGCCAGCGAGUCCAAGGUCUCCCUGGCGAGCGUGGCAAUACUGGGCUCCCCGAAGGGCGAAUUGGUGUCCCCCGGGGCGUCCGCGGAGGUACCGGAGAUCUGCCCGGGUAGGUGAGGCUCGUCAGCCGUGGUAGGCAGUUCACCUAGGAGAGCAAACUCCGAACAACAAACCCGGGUAGGUGGGGCUCGUUAGCCAUGGAAAGCAGUUCACCUAGGAGAGCAAACUCCGAACAACAAACCCGGGCAGGUGGAGCUCGUUAGUGUAAGGCAGUUCACCUAAGAGAGCAAACUCCGAUUAUAAACCCGGGCUGGUGGGGCUCGUUAGUGUAAGGCAGCUCACCUAGGAGAAGGAAACUCUGAAUACAAACCCGGGCAGGUGGAGAUCGUUAGCCGUGGUAGGCAGUUCAUCUAGGAGAGCAAACUCCGAACAACAAACCCGGGCAGGUUGGGCUCGUGAGCCGUCAUAGGCAAUACACCUAGGAGAGCAAACUCUGAACAAAAAACCCGGGCAGGUUGGGCUCGUGAGCCGUCAUAGGCAAUACACCUAGGAGAGCAAACUCUGAACAAAAAACCCGGGCAGGUUGGGCUCGUGAGCCGUCAUAGGCAAUACACCUAGGAGAGCAAACUCUGAACAAAAAACCCGGGCAGGUUGGGCUCGUGAGCCGUCAUAGGCAAUACACCUAGGAGAGCAAACUCUGAACAAAAAACCCGGGCAGGUUGGGCUCGUGAGCCGUCAUAGGCAAUACACCUAGGAGAGCAAACUCUGAACAAAAAACCCGGGCAGGUGGGACUCGUUAGCCGUGGUAGGCAACUCAUCUAGGAGAGGGACAACUCCGAACAACAAACACGGGCAGGUGGGACUCGUUAGCCAUGGUAGGCAACUCAUCUAGGAGAGGGACAACUCCGAACAACAAACACGGGCAGGUGGGACUCGUUAGCCAUGGUAGGCAGUUCAUCUAGGAGAGGGACAACUCCGAACAACAAACACGGGUAGGUGGGACUCGUUAGCCGUGGUAGGCAGUUCAUCUAGGAGAGGGACAACUCCGAACAACAAACACGGGUAGGUGGGACUCGUUAGCCAUGGUAGGCAGUUCAUCUAGGAGAGGGACAACUCCGAACAACAAACACGGGUAGGUGGAGUUCGUUAGCCAUGGUAGGCAGUUCAUCUAGGAGAGGGACAACUCCGAACAACAAACACGGGCAGGUGGGACUCGUUAGCCAUGGUAGGCAGUUCAUCUAGGAGAGGGAAAACUCCGAACAACAAACACGGGCAGGUGGAGUUCGUUAGCCAUGGUAGGCAAUUCAUCUAGGAGAGGGACAACUCCGAACAACAAACACGGGCAGGUGGAGUUCGUUAGCCAUGGUAGGCAGUUCAUCUAGGAGAGGGACAACUCCGAACAACAAACACGGGUAGGUGGAUCUCGUUAGCCAUGGUAGGCAAUUCAUCUAGGAGAGGGACAACUCCGAACAACAAACACGGGCAGGUGGAGCUCGUUAGUGUAAGGCAGUUCACCUAGGAGAGCAAACUCCGAUUACAAACCCGGGCUGGUGGAGCUCGUUAGCGUGAGCAGUUCACCUAGGAGAGCAAACUCCGAUUACAAACCCGGGCUGGUGGAGCUCGUUAGCGUGAGCAGUUCACCUAGGAGAGCAAACUCCGAUUACAAACCCGGGCUGGUGGAGCUCGUUAGCGUGAGCAGUUCACCUAGGAGAGCAAACUCCGAUUACAAACCCGGGCUGGUGGAGCUCGUUAGCGUGAGCAGUUCACCUAGGAGAGCAAACUCCGAUUACAAACCCGGGCUGGUGGAGCUCGUUAGCGUGAGCAGUUCACCUAGGAGAAGGACAACUCUGAUCACAAACCCGGGCAGGUGGAGAUCGUUAGCCGUGGUAGGCAGUUCACCUAGGAGAGCAAACUCCGAUCACAAACCCGGCCAGGAGGGGGUCGUUAGCCGUGGUAGGCAAUCCUCCUAGGAGAAGGAAAACUCCGAAUUCAAACCAACCAACACACACACACACACACACACCGGGCAGGUGGGGCUCGUUAUAGGCGUCGUAGACAAUCCACCAAGGGGAAUCAACAACAAAAAAAGGAUAAUAAAAACGAACACAAGAAAAGAAUAUGAAAUAAGAAACGGCAAAAAAUGAAGAAUAAAAGUAGGAGCAAUCAAACGGAGUGUAGCCCAUACUUGAACAGUGAGUUGAAAAUACAGACGAAGGAAACAGUUCCAGAGUUUACCAGCUAAAAAGAUGAAAGAAUAAAUAAGGGAUUUGAACACCGUAGAGGUGCGAGGGAGUGGUGCAGGAAUACGUACAAUUAACAAGUCCAGAAGAGCUGUUAGCACGAAAAUGUUGGUGGAAGUUAGAGAGGAUCGUUGCGAAGUAACUUGAUGAGUAUAGGUAGAAGACUGUCUGUCAGUAAGAGGAAGAAACCUGUUGAGGCCAAAAGCUUUUGACUACCCUGUCCAAAAAGGCCUCAUACCGGAGCGGAAAGGCCCUUGUUGAGGGUGCAUCUGUCGCACACGUUUUACAUUACCAUUUCUUAAUA